AAUACUAUAGCCAGUUGUUAUAAAAGGCAUAUAAAAGGUGACAAAAUGAUGAAAGCUUCAGACAGUAAAUCAUUAUGGGCCAAAGUAGGCCAAAUCAAAGAACUCCAUUUCAUGUCGAAAAACGUCAUCUUGUUUGGACGAGGAUGUUUUAUUCAGUUCAUAAACAUCACAACAAGCGAAGAACACCAGUUAAUGCUCAACAACCACUACGUUAAUGGUGAUGGGGUGAAAUGUCUGACAGGACAUAGUACCUUGUAUAUUUUUGCCUAUGCUGAGAAUUGCCAUGAACCAUUUAUCUACGUGAGGAGUUAUCCAGAGUUUAUAAUACUAGCCAAAUUACCUGGUCCUGCAGAAGGCUGCAAAUGUCUAGAUUUCUCCGAAACCUCUCUAUUAUUUGAGCUAGGAGAAUUACCGAAUCACACCGUCGGAGCCUGGAAUUGGAGGACUUUGGAGAAAUUUGCCCACUCCAGCAACCAACUUGUGUACAAAAAUCAAGUUUUAAGAUGUAGCUAUGGCAGACCGAUAUUUCUAGCUCAUUUAGGAAUAGGAUCGAACAAUAUGUACAUUUGGGACGUGUUUACUGUUUGCAAGUCCUCAAUUUUCUCGAAACACGAAAUACAUCUGGGAAAAUUGAAACCGGCGCCAUUUUUGGAUGUUUUAUGGACCACGGAUGCGAUCUGUUAUAUUGUUGAUGCCAAAGGAACGAUUUAUACAUAUGACAGAGACUUUUACUUAGAAGUUGUCAUUGAGGUGAAUGAAGAAGGAGAUAUACCAACGUCCAUGUGUUGGUUCCAGCAUGGUCUAACAGUUAUUGGUCCAAUUCCAGAAAUAAAGCAUUACAAAAAGGUGGUUGGCGACUGGGUAUGCGACUGGAAGUACCCCAUUUCGAACAAACUCACUGGAGUCAUUUGCAACCGAUUUGAUAAAUGUGUCGCUAUUUCUAGCGAAAACGAGAUAGUUUUACUCGGAAAUACACCGGAGAGUUUCACAGUAUUGAACCCAAACAAGUCACAUUACACGAAUAUCUGUCCUAUUGAACCAGGUGGAGAGUAUUUCGUUGUAUUACGUGGAAAUAACGAUCUUAUAAUUUACAGAAUAGACGAUGGAGAACCUGUAUCCAGAUUACUCAUAGAUUGUUCGGUAACAUCUAUGGCAUCGAACCCUGAGUUUCCAUUUCUGGCACUAGGCAACGAUCGCGGAAUACUACAAUUGAUAUCUGUUCAUGAUGUGACGAAUCCAACUGUCAUAGUACAAGUGUAUCUGGCCGACAUUGUCCUAAAUGUCACAAAGUACUUUGAGCGAAGUCACGUGUUCGUCACAGGAAACAACGACAAUGGGGAAUAUUUUAUUUUACGGGGUCUUCCUGGAUCCAAGAUCGACGUGGCCCUUCAUCUGGAAGUCAAAAAGCAAAUAGUGGACUUCUUCAUGGUGUCGUCGCAGAAUAUGAUUCGAUUCUUCGUGUUACCACUGACCUCCAACAAGUUCUACGCUGGUAACAAAGUGAUACGCUACUGUAUCGUGGACGAUAAAGUAGUCAGCGUGAAAGAGUACACUUUUGGCUCAUCCCAGAUGCUUUACAAAAUGAUUUUUCCCAAAAAGGGCUUCCAUAAGGAUAGGAUGUUCUACGUGGUUCCUUUCAAUACCAGGUAUUUUCAAGUGGUUGAAACAAAAAGAGGGUCAUCGGUGAUAACUGCCAUAGAAGAUAUUAAAUCUGGACAUUUGUUAAGACAUUUUUCUGUUGGAACUGGAAAGUAUUUCUCCAUCACUUGGGGCUACGAUGGAUUCAUAAUGGCGCACAGCGCUGAUUUUGACAAAGUCGUAGGCCUUUGUAGGCCUCAUCAUCGCAACGAUCAAGGAGUGAGAAAAGCUAUCAUAAACGGAAUUGGAACUGUAGUGGUAUCUCUAGGUGAAGACGGCGUCCUUACCGCAACCCAAAUCCGAAAAGAGACACCCGACGUCCAACUACUCAAAGAGCAAAUAACGGAAGAGGCCGCCCAUCUAAAACUGGCCCUCAUGUUCAAGCGACCCACCGCGGGCUUUCCCAUCGAAGCCUGUUUCCUGGGCAAACCCUGGAAGGAGAUCCAAAGAUUAAAACUGAUAGCCAGCGAGGAGAAGGCGUGCCGAAUAGAAAAGGAGAAAAUUUGGGCGGAGUUCCACGACAUCAGUAAAACUUUGAAGGCUUUGGUCGAUCAAAACAUGGAGACUACGGAAAAUAAAAAGCUGGACUUGAUGGAGUUUUAUCUGGAUACGGCUCUGUAUAAUAAGAAGCAGCUUCAAAACAAGGAGGACUGUAAACAGACCGAGACUUAUUUGAAGUGUUUGAUCGUGGCUCAAGAUAAAGUUUCGAAUUAUAUCAUCAAGAAUUAUUGGGAGCCUAUGGGUAUUCAAUGGGGAAAUAUUUUGGGCAUAUUCAGCGAAGUUAAGGCUACUAAUUACUGUCUAUUGCCCGAAAGCCAAAAUCAACUCGACAAACUCAGUUGGGUCGAGGAACAGCGAAAAGUCGAACAGUUUAUGAGCAGCCAGGACACUUUCGAACCGUGGGUUUGGAUGACACAAAACAAAUUGAUGGAUGUUAUAAGAAGAAGACCGAUGCCGCCAAGAGAGGAUUAUACAGGGGUUGCCGCUCUUAGACGUUUGAAAGAGAUAGAUGAGAUGGAGUCGGAAAAAUCGUUGGAAACAACUAUAGCAAUAGCUGGAUCAGUGGCUCAACUCUACAUAGAUAUCAGUCCAGGGCAUUAUCAGCAAAGACAGUUAACUACUUUUUAUCAGUGCCAGUUACAACAGGCUGUUGCCGAGAGAGAAGUUAUUAAACUGAAACAGAACUACAACAAAUGUUUUCAAAAUACCAGGGCUAUCAAGGACAGAGAAGUGUACAAUAUCAAGGAAAAGAAUGCCAAGCUGAGGCAUAUAGUAUCUGAGUACAACUACCAUUCGGAUAAGAAAGUCUUCGUUAACAUCGACGACCCUGAGUGGGAUCAGAUAGAAAAUCCGGAAACCAUUCUUAAGGUAACCGACAACGAGAUACCAGUCACACCAUAUAUUUCGCCCAGUGAGCAGGCCAUACUAGAUGCGAAAGCAGCCGAAGAAGAACGAUUGCGUUUGUUGUUAUUGGCCGACGAUUUCAGAGAGAGGGCGCUGAUGGCUAUGAUGAAUGGCGUACUGGAAGUACGUUGGGAGGACGAACUUAAAAAAGACGUACCGAAACCAAAGUGCAUGUUGGAGAAAAUACCGGAAGAAUACAACGAGGACGACCUGAGAGCCAUCAGGGACUAUGAAGAGAAAGUUGUGUUCCUAAAAGCCGAAAGGGAAAAGUACAAAACUUUGCUGGAAGUGGAUUACGCGAAAUUGUCCACGAACGUGCGCGAUACCAUCCGCAGAUUCAACCAGAAGCUCUACGAGUGCACCCGCUACAAAUUCUACAUCGACUCGGGCAUGAACCAGGAAAAUUUGCAAGUGAACCGGGCCAGGUUCCAGCAGAACCACAGAAUCAUUUUGGACGAGAUAGAGGCCGGCAUUAUUGCAUCCAUUCAGGAAUACGAAAAAGAGGUCGAUGUAAACCAUAAGCAGAUACAGUUCAUGCAGGAUUCUCUCAGCGAUUGUAAAACCAACUUGGAUUCCAUGCAGAUCAGAGAAAAAAAUUUAGAGAAAGCAUACAGGAAGGACUUUCAGGACAUGUCCCCCGUGGUCCAGGAACAGUCUUAUAAGCUAUACAAAAAGCGACCCAAAGUAAAUUUUCGCAAUAUCUCCACUGCAACGGUUUUGAACGAAUUGGCCAAAAGUGUCCUAAGUAACGAGACCACGAUAGCCAUGACGCAAGAGUGUUUGGACUACUUGAAAUCCUUGGAACAAUUGGAUUUGUUCGUUGGUCUGCCUCCUACCAUCGACGAGAACACGUAUAGUUUGAUAUGCAAACAUAGAAGGAUGAGAAUUGAGUACGACAUUAGAUGUCGAGCUGCUCAGUUACAAAUAAUUGAUGGUGAUGCUACUCUUUCUACAUUCCAAAGACGUAUAGCCACUGAAAAAGAAAAAAUCGCUAAUUUAAAUGCCCAACUGGAGAAGACCAGAGAUGACAGGUUGUACCUGCUGCACAACAGACAAGUCCAAGUGGUACUCAGGAGAGGUUUGGUUGAAAUCCCUCUUACUGGAGACUUGUUCACCGACUUUAAUGACGUUAUUUUGAUCCCCAGAACAGAAAUUCAACGCGUCAACGAUAUGAUCAAGAACGCGGGCAAUUUGAAAUUGAAAACGAUCUACAAAAAUAUGGAGUUUAAGAGACGCAUUAUGAAUAUCGAAUGGGAACACAUGAAGACUAGAAUGCAGAUCAACGAUUUUAUUGAGCAGAGGAAAGAUAUUCUUUCUGUAAAGUUUACCAAAGAGAUGCAGAGGUACUUAAAGAGCAAAACUAUGGGCAAACAAGCGGAAGUGGAAUCGUAUGAAAUGGAAGUGGAACUCUUGGCAGCCGCGUUCGAAAACAGGAUAAAGGACAAGAAGGACAAGUACAACAAGAUCAAGAUCCAGCUGAAACUGUACCAGGACAGCAACAAGAACUUAGACGAAGAGAUCAAGAAGAUAAACGUUGACGUGUGCCACUUCAAGUUGCUCAAAGAAUGGGAAGUGGAAGAAAAGGAGAAGAGCAUACUCAAAUCUAGAAGAUACGGCCAAAGUUUCCGGAAUACAGUUCGGACCACCCUAUAUAUUUCACAAUGAGUGUUUAAGAACUAAUCAUAAAAUCUGUCGGAGGGGCUGAGAAAAAGUACCCUAUAAUAAAAUUAUAAAUUCCCUGGGAUACCAGGAUGGACCUAAUGGUUGAAUGCAAUGUUGCAAAGAAAUCAGCUGGUGCAAAAAAUCCAAGAAAACCACAACGAAAUUCUAGUGCUGCAGGCGGAAUUGGAGUUAUUAAGAUUAAGAACAUUUCCGACAUUUAAAUAUAAAGUAUUGG